UGUACAUAUGUACAUAUGAGUACAUAUUAUAUUAUGUACGAUAUUUGCUAUUUACAUUUUUUGUAGCGUAUUGGCUACUGCGACCAUAAUCCUCCUCAUUUGGCAUCGGUAGAACCGAUGCAUUUCAUUUCAGCUUUUGUUGUAGUUUUGUAUCAUGAGGCACCAACACCGCGGACUUGGCUGUUCCCUUUGAAAAGCUACUAAACAGGAAUCAAAAAUUGUUUCGCAUCGCCGAAGACACUCUUACGAGAUUGAGUAUAAAAUCUCCAGAGACGUCUGGGUCAAAGAUAUUAUGACCAGAUGUCUCAUAUAUAUCUAAUAGUUGAAUGCUUCCAGUGGUCGAACUCGCCACGGAAGCCAAGGAGAUCUCCUCUGAGCUCGAUGCAGCACCCCAAAACCUCUCCCCGGCAUUACGGAGGACAAUAAAGAUGGCGGCGAGGGAAAGGAGUAUCGUCAGAUGGGCCAACUCAGCGAAGGGCAGAUGGACUUAUAGCCUUAUAGUGGGUCAACCGCCAACUGCCCAGCGUGCGGCGUAGAAGAGACCGCGGAGCACAUAACCCACACUUGCCCAAGGAGACACUCUGAACGCCAGGAACCUGAACUCGAGGAUGUUAGCCAGCGCCCACUACUGGUCAAAGGCAUGUCGAUUUGCAGAGAGAGCCGGAGCAGAGUCGUAACGGCACACAAGGAGGGGUCUAAGGUGACCCGCCCGUUCCAGCGAAGCAGAGCUUCACGGCAGUCCCGCAGUGAAACAGGCAUUACUCCCAAUACCAUUCCCAUUCGUAUCUUCUUUAACUUUUUUUUUGUUUUUCCUUACUAUGCGAUGAAUAAACAUUUAUAAUACCCUUC